UACAGAGGUCUCAAGCGUUUGUUCGGAUUCAUUGGGCGUAAAGGGUGCGUAGGCGGCGUGGUAAGUCGGAUGUGAAAUCUCGGAGCUUAACUCCGAAACUGCAUUCGAUACUGGCGUGCUUGAGGACUGGAGAGGAGACUGGAAUUCAUGGUGUAGCAGUGAAAUGCGUAGAGAUCAUGAGGAAGACCAGUGGCGAAGGCGGCUGACUGGUCCGGAUCUGACGCUGAGGCGCGAAAGCGUGGGGAGCAAACAGG
rnacentral:rRNA from 1 species